GCGGAGGAAAAGAAACCAACAGGGAUUGCCUCAGUAACGGCGAGUGAAGCGGCAAGAGCUCAACUUUGGAAUCGCUGCGGCGAGUUGUAGUCUGGAGGUGGCCGGUCCCGGCGCCAGCGCGCAGCCAAGUCCUUUGGAACAAGGCGCCUGAGAGGGUGACAGCCCCGUGGCAGUUUGUGCUGGUGCCGCCUCGGCCCACCGACGAGUCGAGUUGUUUGGGAAUGCAGCUCUAAGUGGGUGGUAAAUUCCAUCUAAAGCUAAAUACCGGCGAGAGACCGAUAGCGAACAAGUACAGUAAUGGAAAGAUGAAAAGCACUUUGAAAAGAGAGUGAAACAGUACGUGAAAUUGUUGAAAGGGAAGGGCUUGCACCCAGACACGGCCUUCUGGCCGGGCCAGCAUCGGGUGGGAGGGAGCGACAACGAGCAGUCGAUGUAGUACAGCCCUCUGGGCUGUGCAUUAUACGUCUUGCUUUCUGGCUCCUCUCCCGCCCGAGGACCGCAGCAAUAAGGAUGCUGGCGCAAUGGUUGCAAGCCACCCGUCUU
rnacentral:rRNA from 3 species